AAUAAGCACAGUUGUGGGUUCCAGUGUCCAACAUUUGGCUAUCCGUCUUAUUUGAAUUCUUUUUAUAAUUAGUAUUUUUAUUGUUAUUAGAUGAUAAAAUAUGAAUAGUACUUUAUGCAUGACUAAAUUUUUAAAUUUUUUUAUAAAUUUUUUAAAUAAAACGGACGGUCAAAUAUUGGACACGGAAACUUAUGGCUGCACUUAAA
rfam:Oryza glaberrima chromosome 2 Oglab02_0016_7, whole genome shotgun sequence.